UGCGGUGAUGAUGCCUGGACGGUUCCACCUGUUCCCAUUCCGAACACAGUAGUUAAGCGUCCACAGGCCGAGGGUACUUCGUUGGAGACGACGUGGGAGAGUAGGUAGUUGCCGCAA
rnacentral:rRNA from 3 species